AAGUUGUAACAAGGUAUCCGUAGGUGAACCUGCGGAUGGAUCAUUAAUGAAAAGAGGUUUGGGGUUUGGAACAGCAAACGUUGUCCAGCCUUAAACACUCAACAUCCACACCUUGUGAACUGUAAUGUAUCUGGCGGCUUUUCUGUUGGUGUCUGGAAAGACAUUUUUGGGGGGCCGCCAGUUGUUUUUAAUCAACACGUUUGUUAAACUUGAGCCUAAGUGAAUUUCUCUAUUUGCAAAAAUUGUACAAACAACUUUUGACAACGGAUCUCUUGGCUCUC
rnacentral:misc_RNA from 1 species